rnacentral:rRNA from 1 species
AUGUUAUUUUAUGAUAUUUUGAGGAUUUUGGAUCAUAACAUUAGAACUCCGCAAUUAAGCAUGCUCAGGCUAGAGUAGUAUUGGGAUGGGUGACCGCCCAAGAAGUCCUAGUGUUUCACAUG